UGGGGGAAUAUUGCACAAUGGGGGAAACCCUGAUGCAGCGACGCCGCGUGAACGAAGAAGUAUUUCGGUAUGUAAAGUUCUAUCAGCAGGGAAGAUAAUGACGGUACCUGACUAAGAAGCACCGGCUAAAUACGUGCCAGCAGCCGCGGUAAUACGGGGGAUGCGAGCGUUAUCCGGAUUCAUUGGGUUUAAAGGGUGCGUAGGCGGCUUUGCAAGUCAGCGGUGAAAGGCCCAGGCGCAACCCGGAAAGUGCCGUUGAUACUGUGAGGCUGGAAUGCGGAUGCUGUGGGAGGAAUGAGUGGUGUAGCGGUGAAAUGCAUAGAUAUCACUCAGAACACCGAUUGCGAAGGCAUCUCACAAAUCCGCAAUUGACGCUGAGGCACGAAAGCGUGGGGAUCGAACAGGAUUAGAUACCCUGGUAGU
rnacentral:rRNA from 1 species